rnacentral:rRNA from 1 species
GACGAACGCUGGCGGCGUGCCUAAUACAUGCAAGUUGAACGCUGAAGGCUGGUACUUGUACCAACUGGAUGAGCAGCGAACGGGUGAGUAACGCGUGGGGAAUCUGCCUUAGAGCGGGGUACAACAUUUGGAAACGAAUGCUAAUACCGCAUAAAAACUUUAAACACAAGUUUUAAGUUUGAAAGUUGCAAUUGCAUCACUCAAAGAUGAUCCCGCGUUGUAUUAGCUAGUUGGUGAGGUAAAGGCUCACCAAGGCGAGGAUACAUAGCCGACCUGAGAGGGGGAGCGGCAUAGCUGGGCUGGGGACACGGCCCGAAAUCCUGGGGGUGGGAGCCGGCGGGGAUCUUCAGGAAUGGAAGAAGGUCUGAACGAGCGACGCCGCGUGAGUGAAGAAGGUUGUCGGGUCGUGUAACUCAGUUGGUAGAGAGGAACGUUGGUGAGAGUGGAAAGAUCAGCAAGUGACGGUAACUACACAGAAAGGGACGGCUAACUACGUG